GACAGAGGUGCCGAGCGUUAGGCGGAAUCACUGGGCUUAAAGCGUGUGUAGGCGGAUCGUUAAGUACCUUGUGAAAUCCCACGGCUCAACCGUGGAACUGCUGGGUAUACUGGCGAUCUUGAGCGACUUAGGGGCAGACGGAACAAGUGGUGGAGCGGUGAAAUGCGUAGAUAUCACUUGGAACGCCGACGGUGAAAACAGUCUGCUGGGAGUCCGCUGACGCUGAGACACGAAAGCCAGGGGAGCGAACGGG
rnacentral:rRNA from 1 species